rnacentral:rRNA from 1 species
CUGGCGCGCGCUCACUGACCGAUCAACGAGUUUGUCCUGGUCCGAUAGGAUUGGGUAAUCUUCUGAAAUCGUGUCGUGAUGGGGAUAGAUCAUUGCAAUUAUUGAUCUUCAACGAGGAAUUCCUAGUAAGUGCAAGUCAUCAGCUUGCGCUGAUUAUGU